AGUACCUGAGGAGAGGAGAGGUUUGAGAUCCACUGGGUUAGAGUACCUGAGGAGAGGAGAGGUUUGAGAUCCACUGGGUUAGAGUACCUGAGGAGAGGAGAGGUUUGAGAUCCACUGGGUUAGAGUACCUGAGGAGAGGAAAGGUUUGAGAUCCACUGGGUUAGAGUACCUGAGGAGAGGAGAGGUUUGAGAUCCACUGGGUUAGAGUACCUGAGGAGAGGUUUGAGAUCCACUGGGUUAGAGUACCUGAGGAGAGGUUUGAGAACCACUGCGUUAGAGUACCCGAGGAGAGGAGAGGUUUGAGAUCCACUGGGUUAUAGUACCUGAGGAGAGGUUUGAGAACCACUGCGUUAGAGUACCGAGGAGAGGAGAGGUUUGAGAUCCACUGGGUUAGAGUACCUGAGGAGAG